UACGGAGGAUGCAAGCGUUAUCCGGAAUGAUUGGGCGUAAAGCGUCCGCAGGUGGCUAUGUAAGUCUGCUGUUAAAGAGUGAGGCUCAACCUCAUAAGAGCAGUGGAAACUACAUGGCUAGAGUGCGUUCGGGGCAGAGGGAAUUCCUGGUGUAGCGGUGAAAUGCGUAGAUAUCAGGAAGAACACCGGUGGCGAAAGCGCUUUGCUAGGCCGCAACUGACACUGAGGGACGAAAGCUAGGGGAGCGAAUGGG
rnacentral:rRNA from 1 species